UACGUAGGUGACUAGCGUUGUCCGGAUUUACUGGGCGUAAAGAGCGCGCAGGCGGUCGUUCAAGUCGAGUGUGAAAGCCCCCGGCUCAACUGGGGAGGGUCAUUCGAUACUGGUCGACUCGAAGGCAGGAGAGGGAAGCGGAAUUCCCGGUGUAGUGGUGAAAUGCGUAGAUAUCGGGAGGAACAUCAGUGGCGAAGGCGGCCUUCUGGUCCAGUACUGACACUCAAGUGCGAAAGCGUGGGGAGCAAACAGG
rnacentral:rRNA from 1 species